rfam:Capsicum annuum cultivar Zunla-1 chromosome 5, whole genome shotgun sequence
UAUUGAUGAUGUGGACAUUCCCGAAGAAGAGCCUUGAAGCAUCCCCAAGAAUGAUAGAGGUUUUUAUCUGGCUUCUGUUUAAAGCUCACUAUCUCACUGCUAAGUCA